GAUGAACGCUGGCGGCGUGCCUAAUACAUGCAAGUCGAGCGAACAGAUGAGGAGCUUGCUCCUCUGACGUUAGCGGCGGACGGGUGAGUAACAUGUGGAUAACCUACCUAUAAGACUGGGAUAACUUCGGGAAACCGGAGCUAAUACCGUAUAAUAUAUUGAUCCGCAUGGUCCAAUAGUGAAAGACGGUUUUGCUGCUACUUAUAGAUGGAUCCGCGCCGCAUUAGCUAGUUGGUAAGGUAACGGCUUACCAAGGCAACGAUGCGUAGCCGCCCUGAGAGGGUGAUCGCCCACACUGGAACUGGGACACGGUCCAGACUCCUACGGGAGGCAGCAGUAGGGAAUCUUCCGCAAUGGGCGAAAGCCUGACGGAGCAACGCCGCGUGAGUGAUGAAGGUCUUCGGAUCGUAAAACUCUGUUAUUAGGGAAGAACAAAUGUGUAAGUAACUGUGCACGUCUUGACGGUACCUAAUCAGAAAGCCACGGCUAACUACGUG
rnacentral:rRNA from 1 species